AUGUGGAGUCACUGCAUUAUACGCAAAAAGAAUAAUGCCCUCACUCCAGAGUCUGAACCAGAACUGACCCUCAGUGGUGACUCCCCCUUUAUUCUAGGAGGUGUUAACAUUAGCUAUGGCAAUGUAAAAACGGUGUUUCUGGAGGCAGUGGGGGCCGAGAAUGGAAAGUCCUCUGCAGCCGUCAACAUAGAGAGUGAGACAAUGCAGGUGUUGACUCACGGAACUGGACGAGAAUCUACUACUCCUUCUCUACUGUUCUCUUCCUACAAACUGAACGAAAAUGAAAAGGAAGUCAUUUCUGCAUGUGUCACAGAGGCACCCUUUGGUUCUAAAGGGAGCUGAGUUGGAUUCCACAAGCGUAUGGUCCUUGUAGCAUGUGAAUAGGAUUCAGUCAUGGAAGAGAAGGAAGGGCUCGGGGGAUACUGUCAUCGCCCUGUCCAGGCUAACCCUCUAGCUGCCCAGGUGACAGGCUGGCCUGUGUUUGUGUUGUGUAAGUGUGUACAGCUGCUAAUGUAGGGUCCAGAAACAUCUUACAAAGUAAGCCUAUCCCUACCUGUAGCUUUAUGUGGGCAUAAAUUCAUUUCAGUUCUUAACAUGAACAUUUGUACAGUGCUUCCAAGUGAGGGUUUGACUGCCUCACAUCUGGAAUCCUUCAAGUUUAUCCUUCUUGGAGUCAGUGUCGUGAACGUUUUCCCCUAGGUCAAGAGUCUGCUGUCAACAUGAUGUUCUCUAAUUACACGGCUUCAUACAACUCCCAGAUUUGUGGACAUAUAUUUUUGUAUUUAAGGUGUUCCUUCUUUUACUUCUGUUUAUAGUUCAUCCUUGACACUGCUCUUUUCCCACUGCCUUUAUCUCAGUCCUUCCCAAGCUUUC
rnacentral:lncRNA from 10 species